GGCCCAAUUCCAAACCACCCCCUCACUGACUCAUUGACUUAGGUGCGCGCUCAUGUGAGCUCUGUAAGGGCUUGAGGGUUGUUCCAAAUGAAAUCGGUAAGUCAGCGAGGGCUCGGGAACGCCCCUUUCUGCACCCUUUCCGUAAGUCCGUACCGUUGAGGACUUUGGCUAUGAAAUUGCCCACAAUUCAUUGCGUUGUGGGCGUUACUGGACGACAGCGACGCAGCCGGGGGACAGGAUUUAAAAAGGAACGAGGCCACAAGCGUCUCAACGUCCGCGACAGACACCAAAAAUGACGGAGAUCAUGGCGAAGAAGCUCAAGAAGAAGCAGUUCAUUUAGGAUCUAGGUGCACCCUUAAUACUCUAACAUGGAUGUUCCGCAUCGUGUAUGGUGGGCGCCGGAAUGCCAAGAUGAACAAGAAUGCACUACAUUAACA